AAUCUCCUCCUCCACCAUACUACUAUCACUCACCUCCUCCACCAGUAAAAUCUCCUCCGCCACCGUACUAUUACCACUCUCCACCUCCUCCAGUGAAGUCGCCUCCACCUCCUUAUUACUACCACUCACCUCCUCCUCCGGUGAAAUCCCCACCACCACCAUAUUAUUACCACUCACCACCCCCACCCGUCAAAUCUCCUCCACCUCCAUAUUAUUACCACUCACCACCUCCUCCGGUGAAAUCUCCACCACCACCAUAUUAUUACCACUCACCUCCUCCUCCGGUGAAAUCUCCACCACCACCAUAUUACUACCAUUCACCUCCCCCUCCAGUCAAAUCUCCACCACCACCAUAUUACUACCAUUCACCUCCCCCUCCAGUGAAAUCCCCACCACCACCAUAUUACUACCAUUCACCACCUCCUCCAGUGAAAUCUCCACCACCACCAUACUACUACAACUCUCCACCACCACCAGUAAAAUCUCCCCCACCUCCCGUCUACAUCUACGCUUCUCCCCCACCUCCUACCCAUUACUAGGCUCGUCAAAUUCAACCAAGUUUCCCCAUUAUUCAAGUAAGUCCCAAGGCUCCAAUAUUCUAAGUAUGCUCCAUAUC
rnacentral:lncRNA from 1 species